UGUUUUCCCGAUUUCAAAGGGGCUAAUAAUUUAUUUUGUUUAUUGUGGAAUAAAUAUCGAUAAUAGGUUGUUAGUGAUGAGAUGUUAUUCGUCUUUGAGGGUCUCUGGUUUUCCAAGAAAUGAAUUUAAUUCAUGUGCGUUGUUUAGUUGAUCUUUAUUUUACGGUUUUCUUUAUUUGGCACUAAUGUUUUGGGGGAUUAGCUUCAUGACAUAAUUUUAUAAUAUUGUUCUUAUUAAUUUUUGUGGGUUUUAUGGUAACUAUCAUUUUAAGUGUGUUAUAACUUUAUUUAGUUUUUGGUUUGAUUUAUGUUGAAUUUAAGUUUUAUAUUGGAAUAUUUAUUAUAAUUAUUUAUUUUUCGUAAUAAUGGUGGAAUUAGUAAAUUAAAUUUUUAAAAAUUAAUGAGAAACCAGUUAGGUUUAUUUAGGGAACUAGGCAAAAUUUUUGUGCCCGCCUGUUUAACAAAAACAUCUCUUCUUGGAAUUAAUUUGAAGUAUUACCUGCCCGCUGGAGUUUUUGAAGGGCCGCGGUAUAUUGACCGUGCAAAGGUAGCAUAAUCAUUAGUCUUUUAAUUGAGGGCUGGAAUGAAUGGUUUGACGAGGCACAUACUGUCCCUUUGAAAUGUUAUUGAAUUUGGUUUUUAAGUUAAAACACUUAAAUGUUUGUAUGGGACGAGAAGACCCUAUAGAGUUUUACCGGUAUAUAAUUGUUUAUGUUUGUUGAUUUUGAAGAUGAAUUAUUUUCUGGUUUGGUUGGGGUGAUUAGAGGAUAUAAUAAACUCCUCUUUAUUGGUGAUAUAUUUAUUUAUAUUUAAAUGAU
rnacentral:rRNA from 1 species